rnacentral:rRNA from 1 species
GUGGGGAAUCUUGCGCAAUGGGCGAAAGCCUGACGCAGCCAUGCCGCGUGAAUGAUGAAGGUCUUAGGAUUGUAAAAUUCUUUCACCGGGGACGAUAAUGACGGUACCCGGAGAAGAAGCUCCGGCUAACUUCGUGCCAGCAGCCGCGGUAAUACGAAGGGGGCUAGCGUUGCUCGGAAUUACUGGGCGUAAAGGGCGCGUAGGCGGACAGCUUAGUCAGAGGUGAAAGCCCAGGGCUCAACCUUGGAAUUGCCUUUGAUACUGGCUAUCUUGAGUAUGGAAGAGGUAUGUGGAACUCCGAGUGUAGAGGUGAAAUUCGUAGAUAUUCGGAAGAACACCAGUGGCGAAGGCGACAUACUGGUCCAUUACUGACGCUGAGGCUCGAAAGCGUGGGGAGCAAACAGGAUUAGAAACCCGAGUAGUCC